rnacentral:rRNA from 1 species
UUGGCUCAGGAUGAACGCUGGCGGCACGCUUAACACAUGCAAGUCGAACGGAGUUACAAGAUAAGCUUGCUUAAUUUGUAACUUAGUGGCGGACGGGUGAGUAACACGUGAGCAAUCUGCCCUUAAGAGGGGGAUAGCAGUUGGAAACGACUGAUAAUACCGCAUAAGAUAGUAGUACCGCAUGGUACAGCUAUAAAAGAUUUUAUCGCUUAAGGAUGAGCUCGCGUCUGAUUAGCUGGUUGGUGAGGUAACGGCUCACCAAGGCAACGAUCAGUAGCCGGACUGAGAGGUUGGACGGCCACAUUGGGACUGAGACACGGCCCAGACUCCUACGGGAGGCAGCAGUGGGGAAUA